GACAGAGGUGCCAAGCGUUAGGCGGAAUCACUGGGCUUAAAGCGUGUGUAGGCGGUAUGGUAAGUACCUUGUGAAAUCCCACGGCUCAACCGUGGAACUGCUUGGUAUACUGCUUUUCUUGAGCCACUUAGGGGCUACCGGAACAAAUGGUGGAGCGGUGAAAUGCGUAGAUAUCAUUUGGAACGCCAAUGGUGAAAACAGGUAGCUGGGAGUGUGCUGACGCUGAGACACGAAAGCCAGGGGAGCGAACGGG
rnacentral:rRNA from 1 species